AGAGUUUGAUCAUGGCUCAGAACGAACGCUGGCGGCGUGCUUAACACAUGCAAGUCGGAUGCGAAGCAAUCUUUCGGGGUUGUAGUAGCAUGGCAGACGGGUGAGGAACACGUACCUAACCGGUCUUUUGCUGGGGGAUAGUCCUGCGAAAGUGGGUUGAAUACCGCAUACGCUCGGUGCAGGAGGUGGCAUUGAGGAAAGUUGGCCUCUGCGAGCAAGCUGAUGGCGGGAGCGGGGGGUGCGUCCUAUUAGCUAGUUGGUGGGGUAAAGGCUUACCAAGGCGACGAUGGGUAGCUGGUCUGAGAGGAUGAUCAGCCACACUGGGACUGCGACACGGCCCAGACUCCUACGGGAGGCAGCAGUGGGGAAUUUUGCGCAAUGGGGGCAACCCUGACGCAGCAACGCCGCGUGAGUGAGGACGCCUUUCGAGGUGUAAAGCUCUGUCGAGGGGGACGAAGUCGGUGAGCGUUGAAGAGACGUGACCGUGACG
rnacentral:rRNA from 1 species